AUCAGAAAGCCAAGAUCAUCAGAAAGCCGAUCUAUUUGAAAGGCUGAGAUCAUCAUCCUCAGACACGUGGCAGCAGAUCAUUAUCUGAGUUAAUGACACUCUCAGAUUAUAUCGAUCUCUAGUCGACCUGACACUUCAGUAUUAUCCGCUAAAUCGGCUUAGUCCAGAACUGCUAGUAAGCAUAACACUUACCUUAAUUAUUUAUCGAUCUUCC
rnacentral:lncRNA from 1 species